UUUUUUUUAAUUUUUGAAAUUUCGAAUUUUUGAAAAUUUUCAAGAAGAAAUCUUCCAUUGCACAGUAUUACGCAAUAGAUUUGAAAGAUCUUUGACCACAUUUAUUUUGUGUCAGAAACCUAUAUUAUGUCAAAAAUUUGAUCGCACUCCAAAUUCAGACAGUAUCAAGCUUGAAUAUUGUGUCCAAAUUUGCCCAAACUGUUCAGGGUUUGACCUCUGCGGUCGUAUCAGGCUGCGCUCAGCGAAGCAUUUUAUUUUCCUGUGUACCAGCUUUAGUAACCAUGUAACCUCAAGUUUCCAAAAUAUUCUAUAAAAACACCAAAUGAAAAAACAGUGGUGCUUUGAAACACCCAAGAUAUAUGUUUAUGACUCAGAAAUUUUUUACUGCAAUGAAAUGUAGGAUUUAUUUCCUACAACUGUCAAAUUCAAGGGAAUAUUUUUUUCGACCCUUUUUAGCUCACCUGGCCCGAAGGGCCAAGUGAGCUUUUCUCAUCACAUGGCGUCCGUCGUCCGUCGUCAGCGUUAACUUUUUACAUUUUGAACUUCUUCUAGAGAACCACUGAAUGGAAUGAAACCAAACAUGGCAUGAAUGUUCCUUAUGAGGUGCUGACCAAGUGUUGUUACUUUGUAGCGAAUCCAUCAUCCAAGAUGGCCGCCAGCGGGGGACUUAGUUUAACAUAGGACCCUAUGGGAAAUACAUACAAAUGUCUUCUUUUAGAGAACCACUGAAUGGAAUGAAACCAAACAUGGCAUGAAUGUUUCUUAUGAGGUGCUGACCGAGUGUUGUUACUUUGAAGCCGAUCCAUAAACCAAGAUGGCCGCCAGCGGGGGACUUAGUUUAACAUAGGACCCUAUGGGAAAUACAUACAAAUGUCUUCUUUUAGAGAACCACUGAAUGGAAUGAAACCAAACAUGGUAUGAAUGUUCCUUAUGAGGUGCUGACCGAGUGUUGUUACUUUGAAGCCGAUCCAUAAUCCAAGAUGGCUGCCAGCGGGGGACUUAGUUUAACAUGGGACCCUAUGGGAAAUACAUACAAAUGUCUUCUUUUAGAGAACCACUGAAUGGAAUGAAACCAAACAUGGCAUGAAUGUUCCUUAUGAGGUGCUGACCAAGUGUUGUUACUAUGAAGCUGAUCCAUAAUCCAAGAUGGCCGCCAGCAGGGGACUUAGUUUAACAUUGGACCCUAUGGGAAAUACAUACAAAUGUCUUCUUUUAGAGAACCAUUGAAUGGAAUGAAACCAAACAUGGCAUGAAUGUUCCUUAUGAGGUGCUGACCAAGUGUUGUUACUAUGAAGCCGAUCCAUAAUCUAAGAUGGCCGCCAGCAGAGGACUUAGUUUAACAUAGGACCCUAUGAGAAAUACGUACAAAUGUUUUCUUUUAGAGAACCAUUGAAUGGAAUGAAACCAAACAUGGCAUGCAUGUUCCUUUUGAGGUGCUGACCAAGUGUUGUUACUUUGAAGCUGAUCCUUCAUCCAUGAUGGCUGCCAGAUGGGGACAAUGUUUAACAAAGGACCCUAUGGACAAUACAUACAAAUGUCUUCUUUUAGAGAACCACAUACUGAAUGGAUUGAAACCAAACAUGGCAUGAAUGUUCCUUAUGAGGUGCUGACUAAGUUUUGUUACUUUGAAGCUGAUCCUUCAUCCAUGAUGGCCGCCAAUGGGGGGACUUCCUUUAACAUAAGACCCUAUGGGAAAUACAUACAAAUGCUUCUUCUAGAGGUGCACUGAAUGGAAUGAAACCAAAACAUGGCAUAAAUGUUUCUUAUGAGGUGCUGAUUAAGUGUUGCUACUUUGUUGCCAAUUUACUGUUCAAGAUGGCCACCAGGAUUUUUUAUUAAAUUACAGGACCAAUAUUAAACCAAAUUUGGCCUCACUCAUUAUUAGGGUAUCUGUUAUGAUUUAAAUCUAUUUUUACAUGAUUUCCAAAACCAAAGUAGAAUCAGGUGAGCGACACAGGCUCUUGAGAGCCUCUAGUUU